UCGAGGAUCUUCGGCAAUGGGCGCAAGCCUGACCGAGCGACGCCGCGUGUGGGAUGAAGGCCCUUGGGUUGUAAACCACUGUCAGGGGGGACGAAAUGCGCGCGGGUACUCCCGUGCGUUUGACAGAGCCCCAGAGGAAGCACGGGCUAAGUUCGUGCCAGCAGCCGCGGUAAUACGAACUGUGCAAACGUUAUUCGGAAUCACUGGGCUUAAAGGGUGCGUAGGCGGCUUAUUAAGCAGGGUGUGAAAGCCCCCGGCUCAACCGGGGAAUAGCGCUCUGAACUGAUGAGCUGGAGCGAGGCAGGGGUGCGCGGAACUUCCAGUGGAGCGGUGAAAUGUGUUGAUAUUGGAAGGAACACCGGAGGCGAAAGCGGCGCACUGGGUCUUGUCUGACGCUGAGGCACGAAAGCCUGGGGAGCAAACGGG
rnacentral:rRNA from 1 species